rnacentral:lncRNA from 1 species
GAAGAGGAAGAAGAAGCCACCAGCGUAGUGGCUCAUGCCUGUAAUCCCAGCACUUUGGGAGGCCAAGGCAGGUGGAUCACCAGAGGUUGGGAGUUCAAGACCACCCUGACCAACAUAGUGAAGCAGUGUCCUGUAGAGAAAAAGAGAAGUGGUCAGAGCGGCAGGAGGUAGAAGAAAAAUCAAGAAUAGCAUAUGGUAACUGAGGAAGAAGAAAGUUUCAAGAAGAAAGUUGUCAGUGUCAGACCAGGCGCAGUGGCUAAUGCCUAUAAUCCGAGCACUUUGGAAGGCUAAGGCUGGAGGAUCACUUGAGCCCAGGAGUUCAAGACUAGCCUGGGCAACAUGGUGAGACCUCAUUGCUACAAAAAUAAAAAUAUUAGCUGGGCAUAGUGGCACACACAUAUAAUCCCAGCUACUUGGGAAGCUAAGGUGGGAGGAUCGCUUGAGUCCAGGAGAUUGAGGCUGCAGUGAGCUGUGAUCACACCACUGCACUGCAGCCUGGGCAAUAGAGUGAGACCCUGUCUCAAACAAGAAAAACAAACUGAAACAAAAAACUGUCAGUGUUAAAAGCUAUAGUGAAUUCAGUUAGUUAAAAACUGAAAAGUAUCCAAUGGAUUUAGCAAAUAUGAAAUUAUUGGUAACUUUGGCAAAGGCAAGGGCAUAGGGUAGAAGGAGAGACUGAAGCAUGGACAUGAGCGGAAAGAAAGAUCCACCAGAAAGAAGAUAAAGACAGAAGAGAGAGGAGGCAGGCAGGGCUGAACUUCAGAGCACAGGUCCCAGGAGAAAGGAGUCUCCUUCCUUUGAAGGAAAGAAGGAAGGAUGGUGACAGAGACAGAUGGAAUGGUGAAAGAUAAGUCUGACAGAACUCUCUGGUCCCUUUCCAUAUAUCCACUCAAUGUCUGAUGGUAAUGAUCAAGCAUAGUGCCCAAACCAGCCUUGCCUGAUUUCCUGAUGGGUCAUUCUCCCUUCCUGGCUUUCUUGCCUUCAAUAUCUUCCCUGUCUUGGGCAAACAGGUGUGGGCUGAAAGUCUUGUAGACACUUUCAUGAACGCUGGUCACUUUCAUCAGUCCUGUUCCUCUCAUCCCAUGACUAUUGCUUCCCCAGACAGAUGAAGCAAUGUGUGAGCAUGGAAGAAGACACCGAACUAAUUCUGAGAAAGGAGCAUCCUUAACAAAUCCUCUCUCGUCCUGUGAUGUCACCCCAUAUCACUUAUGGUCUGCACUAUCCAUAAAACUCUUGGUUGAAGGUGGUCCUGUUUGUCCUCCCAUUACUUGAGAUCACCAUUCUCUCCUUCAUCAAUA